rnacentral:rRNA from 1 species
UACGGAGGGGGCUAGCGUUAUUCGGAAUUAUUGGGCGUAAAGGGCGCGUAGGCGGCUUUCUAAGUCAAAGGUGAAAUCCCUCGGCUCAACUGAGGAACUGCCUUUGAAACUGGACGGCUUGAGGCCGGGAGAGGGUAGCGGAAUUCCCAGUGUAGCGGUGAAAUGCGUAGAUACUGGGAGGAACACCGGUGGCGAAGGCGGCUACCUGGACCGGUUCUGACGCUGAGGCGCGAAAGCGUGGGGAGCGAACAGG